ACAACAUGAAGAGCUAAAUUGUUACAUCACAACUCACAACAUCGUUUGUUCAUAGCAUCAUGUGGUUGAAGCUUUGUUUCAUCGCUCUUUUGUUUGUGGUCGCUUAUGGGAGGUCUUCUCUUCAAGAUCCAGGGAGGCAUAGCGAUGAAGUGAUCGACAAAGGUCUCGAAGAUCCUGUACCAUGGGGAGGUAUGCAGUCAUAACCUUUGUAUUUAAUUUUUGUUUCAUUAUUGUUGUCGCUGCUCUUUUUGUCCAGCCGUUUUGAUCUUGUUGCUGUUGAGAGCAAUGUAGCCUUAUGUGUUACUGUUGUUGUACCCGCUAAGAGUGGUAUCAUAUACCCUCCAGCUGUCGAUCUCACGACGAAAGAAUCGAAGAAAAUACCCGCCUGACUGAAACAUUGGAGUAAUUACAGCCUUAACUAGCCCACAUUUCCUUAUAAAUGUGUAAACUGGCCAAAUUUAGAACGCGGGUGUUCGGACGGCUUCGGACAUGCAAACAAUAUACCUUAAUACAAGUUGCUGAUGUUGAUGUUGUUGUUAUUGUUGUUGUUGUUGUUGUUAUUGUUGUUGUUGUUGUUGUUUUUGUUGUUCUUGCCUGGUAAUAGAAAAGUUAGCCUUAUUUAAUUUCAUCUUUUUUUUCCUGGUGGGAUUGAUAUAACAAUAACAAUAACAGUAACAGUA